AAUUUUGGACAAUGGGGGCAACCCUGAUCCAGCCAGGCCGCGUGUGCGAUGAAGGCCUUCGGGUUGUAAAGCACUUUUGGCAGGGAAGAAGAGGCCCUGGCUAAUACCUGGAGCUGCUGACGGCACCUGCAGAAUAAUCAUCGGCUAACUACGUGCCAGCAGCCGCGGUAAUACGUAGGGUGCAAGCGUUAAUCGGAAUUACUGGCCGUAAAGCGUGCGCGGGCGGUUCGGCAAGAAGGAUGUGAAAUCCCAGGGCUUAACCUUGGAACUGCAUUCUUAACUGCCGGGCUAGAGUAUGUCAGAGGGGGGUAGAAUUCCGCGUGUAGCAGUGAAAUGCGUAGAGAUGCGGAGGAAUACCGAUGGCGAAGGCAGCCCCCUGGGAUAAUACUGACGCUCAUGCACGAAAGCGUGGGGAGCAAAC
rnacentral:rRNA from 1 species